UUCACUGGGUCUAAUAGGAAAGCAGAGCUGAAUGUCCCCAUCAAGAACAUUGCAUUUCAUACAGGCUGUCAAUUAUUAACGUGCCGUGUCCCGUAUCCUACUUUCAGAUUCUUAAUAAGACAAAAUCCAAAUUCAUCACUGCUUUCUAGGCUUUCUGCAGCAAACUACAUUUUAUGGAACAAUGUCUCUUUAAAUCUAUCCAAGAAAAUAUUCCUUCUGGUCCACAGGAUGCCAAAAAUGACUCGAUGAUUUAUUUAUGUGGAGCUUGGCAGACCAUCAUCCAGAUUGUGGGUGAAGUUGAAUUUUAUGAGCUUUCUCUCAAGUGAAUAUAUUGACAGGAUAUUUUUUUUUUUUUUAAAGAGAGUUAAAAGUCCUUUGUAGGGUUUGGCAGAAGUGUCACAUAAAUAUUAUCAGGAACAGUUAUGGGGGCAGGGGCAGGGGAUGGAGUAAAAAUAUUAAUCUAUUAGCCUAAUCCUAUAUUUAGGAGAUGAAGAUUUUUUUCCUGUCGGAAAUGGUAAACGCUCUUUUUAACAAAUAAAAAUAUUUUUAUUGGC